rnacentral:lncRNA from 1 species
CUUGAACCUCGCUGACCAGAUGUUUAAAAUAUUUAGUGUUGUGUUGAACAUGGGGAGUCAGGCUAAAUGGCACCCAUGAGGCAUAAGCAUAUUGAAGAUGACCGUAAGACGGGGACAAGAUGCUCACCUCCUGUUAUUAGUCUUGGUGCGUGUGGAACCGGACAAAGCAGAUUUAAACUGAAGCAAGAUAAACUCGGAUCAGACAAAAAAAGGAGUCUUAAAGAAGAGCAGAUUGAGGCUCUGCAGGGUAUAAUAAAGACAGCUUUCAGUUUCUCCCCAGGAGAAGAUCUACAACAGGAGGCAGAGUGACCCCUUUAGAGGCAGGAGGAGAAAUAAACGGCCACAGGCUGCCCUCAUCUAGGCCAGGGUUCUGGCAGCAAUGAGAACAGGUCUGCAGGAGGAGAAGUGCAUUUGAACCCAUCUUACUCAUCGUCUGUCUCUUGGCUCUUCAAAGUGAGUGCAGUUGGAAGGAAAGGGACAGGGGGUACGUAUGUCUCAUCUCACCCAGGGUGAGGUCCGUGGAUCUAAUGUUACGAAGCCCACAGUGGGUCCCAAAUCCCAGCUGAGCUCCAGGACUAGGAACGUCACCCAGCCUCCCCGCUGCAGAGCUGCACCAUGACUUUUGUUCUUCCUGUGGUGGAAACAGAGCUUGCCUAGAGAUUCUAGACACAGCAUCUCUCCAAAAACAAGCUGGGGCUCUGCCGCCCUCACUGGAGUACAGCCAGUGCUGUGGAGCCCCCAGAGUGGCCACAGAGAUAGACGGGACUUAAAACUGAGUAGGGGGCAACAGAGUUGGAGGCCUAUCCACCGCAUGUGGACACACAGCAAGUCAGGCAUGUGGGAAGGAGGGAAGAGCAGCGCGGAAUGGAAAUGGCAAAUGUUCAUCCAGCCAGGUGUUAUUUUAUUGAUGGCUUCUGGGGAAAUGGGAU